rnacentral:rRNA from 1 species
GACGAACGCUGGCGGCGUGGAUUAGGCAUGCAAGUCGAACGGUAUCAUCCUUUCGGGGGUGAGAGAGUGGGCGAACUGGUGAGUAACACGUAGGUUAUCUACCCUCAAGACGGGGACAACCCAGGGAAACUUGGGCUAAUACCGGAUGUGAGCAACUUUUAGUUGUUUGAAAGGUGGCGUAAGCUGUCGCUUGGGGAUGAGCCUGCGUCCUAUUAGUUAGUUGGUGAGGUAACGGCUCACCUAGGCAAUGAUAGGUAGGCGGCCUUAACGGGUGGUCGCCCACACUGGGAUUGAGAUACGGCCCAGGACUCCUACGGGAGGCAGCAGUGAGGAAUAUUGGUCAAAUGGACAGAAGUCUGAACCAGCCAAGUCGCGUGAAGGAAGAAGGUCUUACGGAUUGUAAACUUCUUUUAGCAGGGGAAUAAAAGACGAUACGAGUUAAUCGUGUUGAAAGUACUUUGCGAAAAAAGGAUCGGCUAACUCCGUGC